rnacentral:piRNA from 1 species
UCACGUGUGCCCCCAUGUCCUCAUCACUGUC